UACGUAGGGGGCAAGCGUUGUCCGGAAUCAUUGGGCGUAAAGAGCGUGUAGGCGGCCCGAUAAGUCCGUCGUGAAAGUCCAGGGCUCAACCCUGGGAUGCCGGUGGAAACUGUCGGGCUAGAGUCCGGAAGAGGCGAGUGGAAUUCCUGGUGUAGCGGUGAAAUGCGCAGAUAUCAGGAGGAACACCGGUGGCGAAGGCGGGUCUCUGGGCCGAUAUUGACGCUGAGGAGCGAAAGCGUGGGGAGCAAACAGG
rnacentral:rRNA from 1 species